UGUGGCUCAGUGGUAGAGCACUUGCCUUGAAUGUAUGACUCACUGGGUUCAAUUCUCAGCA
rnacentral:tRNA from 1 species